GGAAGAAGAGAAUUUCAAGAAAGAGGGAGAACGAGAAAAAAGAAGAAACAAUGAGAGAGUGGAAAGGAAGAAGAAGGAAACAGAAGAAGAAGAACGAAGGGAAGAAAGACUUUAACGAGAGAGUUCCAAGAAAAGACAGAAGGAGAAGGGAAAGAAGAACUGAAGAAGAAACUUGGAAUUUGGGAAGGUAGCCUCUGAUUUGAACUUGCUUGUGACUCCAACAAUUUCAUUUGGAAGCAAAGCCCAUCCUCG
rnacentral:misc_RNA from 1 species